UACGAAGGGGGCUAGCGUUGCUCGGAAUCACUGGGCGUAAAGCGCACGUAGGCGGAUUGCUAAGUCAGGGGUGAAAUCCUGGAGCUCAACUCCAGAACUGCCUUUGAUACUGGCGAUCUCGAGUCCGGGAGAGGUGAGUGGAACUGCGAGUGUAGAGGUGAAAUUCGUAGAUAUUCGCAAGAACACCAGUGGCGAAGGCGGCUCACUGGCCCGGUACUGACGCUGAGGUGCGAAAGCGUGGGGAG
rnacentral:rRNA from 1 species